rnacentral:rRNA from 1 species
GAUGAACGCUGGCGGCGUGCCUAAUACAUGCAAGUCGAGCGAACGGACGAGAAGCUUGCUUCUCUGAUGUUAGCGGCGGACGGGUGAGUAACACGUGGAUAACCUACCUAUAAGACUGGGAUAACUUCGGGAAACCGGAGCUAAUACCGGAUAAUAUUUUGAACCGCAUGGUUCAAUAGUGAAAUACGGUCUUGCUGUCACUUAUAGAUGGAUCCGCGCUGCAUUAGCUAGUUGGUAAGGUAACGGCUUACCAAGGCAACGAUGCAUAGCCGACCUGAGAGGGUGAUCGGCCACACUGGAACUGAGACACGGUCCAGACUCCUACGGGAGGCAGCAGUAGGGAAUCUUACGCAAUGGGCGAAAGCCUGACGGAGCAACGCCGCGUGAGUGAUGAAGGUCUUCGGAUCGUAAAACUCUGUUAUUAGGGAAGAACAUAUGUGUAAGUAACUGUGCACAUCUUGACGGUACCUAAUCAGAAAGCCACGGCUAACUACGUG